rnacentral:tmRNA from 1 species
ACAAAAGUAAUUGGCAACGAUUACGAAUACGCUCUCGCGGCUUAAUUAGCCGUGCCGGUCUGUGUGCCGACGCCUGAUAAGCGCACACACCGGACACCCUUUUCAGGCUGGCGCCCAAUGACGCCUUUCGCAACGGGCGCGAGAAAGCAAGAAAGGCUGGCCGCAAAACGCCGGGUCCCAGGGCAAACUUUGCGGCAAGAGGUUAAUCUGAGACUACGCCCGUAGACGUCGCGGCAGACGCUUCUCGGACGCGAGUUCGAUUCUCGCCGCCUCCACCA